UAGACUCCAGCCACCAGGUUUAUUUUCAUGCUAUAAAUAAAGUUCCCUAUUACUUCCCAUUUUCUUAUGUUCUACAUGAGAUACAGAGAACCAGAAAUUUGUGUGGUGAAUAAUCAACUGUUUGUAUACCUAAAUACCAAUGAGAUGAUAAGCGAGACUUGUAAAGCACUGAAACUGAGGCUAACAGCAACACAAUCCACUAUCAAAGGAUUUAAAUGCCAGAACUGUGAAACAUUCUCUGUAGGUGCCGGGACAGUCUGGCUGAUAAUUAACGUCCACUCUAGCACCGAGGCCUGGACACUUGUGGUUUCUGUUCACCUUUGCUGGCUUGGAGCCCAGAUCUGUCUCAUGAGCAGAGUAACUACCGAGGAGGCUUCUGUGACGGAAAGUUGGUUUUAAGCCAGAAAUCUGGAGAGAUGUCAUGCCAGGCAGCAGCCCCCACGGGCCCAGGCCUUUGUGGGGCAGUGUCACUGGUGUGCCACCAGUACCCAUGCUGCAUGGAGUGGGCUUGGCUGCUGUGGUUGGCUUGUGCUUUAGUGGUUUUCAGAUGGUGUGCAGGUGUCACGAGGAGUUUGUUGCUGGGAGUGUAUAGGAAAAGGCAAUGCAGUUGUCCAAUGAUUGGAGGAUGAAGUGGGUCACUAGGGUGAAGGAUGGUUGGAACGAGAGUUGCCUGUCUUCAGCCAGUGCCUGUUCCAUAUGUGGGCUGGACUCUGAGCAGCCUGGCAGCAAGGGUGUGUAUAAAAUGCUUGGCCUAGGCCGGGCGCGGUAGCUCAGGCCUGUAAUGCCAGCACUUUGGGAGGCCGAGACGGGCGGAUCACGAGGUCAGGAGAUCGAGACCAUCCUGGCUAACACGGUGAAACCCCGUCUCUACUAAAAAUACAAGAAAAUUAGCUGGGGGUGAGCAUGCCUGUAGUCCCAGCUACUCGGGAGGCUGAGGCAGGAGAAUGGCGUGAACCCGGGGGGGCGGAGCUUGCAGUGAGCCGAGAUUGCGCCACUGCACUCCACUCUGGGGCACAGAGCAAGACUCCGUCUCAAAAAAAAAAAAAAAAAAUGCUUGGCCUGCACCAGGGCUAGGGAGAAGAGGACACCAGGGAGGUCACAGCGUCGGAGGAGAACCAGCAUCUGCUGCUAUGAAGAGUUACAAGAGCUGUGCCUACUUCUGCCCAGAUACCAAGACCGCCAGCUCCUGGAUGGACAUGUCCUUGUUGACGUAGCGGUCAUACUGAGCAGGGGUCAGCCUGCCGCUCUGCAGGGCCUCUUCAAUGGAGAACUUCUUGCCAGACUUCCUGUCGUGUAUUACUGAGGACUCACCAUUAGGACCCUUCACUGAGAUCUCCUCCCAGUCGCACUCCUGGCUUCUGAGUUUCACGAACAUGUUCCAGUCGAUGAGCCCCACGCGGUGGGCUUCCUCCGGGGACAGCUCGCGGCCUGUGUCGGGGUGGAUGACUACGAUGGAGCGCCGCAGGUGGUUCUCCCGCUGCUCCCGCUUGACAGCCACGGAGCCCAGACGUUUCUGCAGCUCGUCGAUCUCGAGGUCUUUGUCCUUGGAGAGCCUCUUGAGGUCAUCUAGUUCCCUCUCCAGGGACCACAGUCUGGAGUCAUGGUUGGUCCCAGAGUCCGCCACGGUCAUGUUCCGCAGGUCUCGUGUUUCCGUCGCUGCCAUGUCAAUUUCCGAUUGGAGCCUUCGGGUCUCCAGCUGCAGGUUUUGCCUCUCCAGCUGUAAUUUGUGGUUCUCUUCCCUUAGAAAAUCUAGUUCCUUGGAUGACUUGGAGUUAUGAAAUUCCAGCUCCGCAAGUCUGGCUUCCAGCCGGCUCACCUCGACAUCCAGCUCGCGCUUGCUGCGGCUCUCCUCCUCCAGGUUGCUCUUGAGCCUCUGGAUCUCUUGCUCGGUGUCACCCUUCUCCACCUGGAUGCUCUCGGAGAGCACCACCUUCUCCUUGACCUCCGCCUUCUCCAGUGCAGCCAGUUUCCUCCGGAGGGGCUCAAGCUCACCCUCCAGGAGCUGCCGCCGGUGCUGCUCUUCUUCCAGCUGGAGUCGGAGCAGGGCAUGCUCUCGGGCCUGCUGCGGGUCCUGCUGCAGCACCACCUUCUGCUUGCGGGUUACC
ensembl:lncRNA